rnacentral:tRNA from 1 species
AUUUGGAUAGUUUAAUAAAAUAUUGGUUUGUGGUACCAAAGAUAUGCUUAUAGGCAUUUCAGAUA